AACGAACGCUGGCGGCGCGCCUAACACAUGCAAGUCGAACGAGAAGGCGUAGCAAUACGCUUGUAGAGUGGCGAACGGGUGAGUAAUACGUGGGUGACCUACCCUCGAGUGGGGAAUAACCCGCCGAAAGGCGGGCUAAUGCCGCGUACGCUUCCGUCCUCACGGGGACGGAAGGAAAGCUGUACCGUGGGUACGGCGCUCAAGGAUGGGCUCACGUCCUAUCAGCUUGUUGGUAGGGUAACGGCCUACCAAGGCUACGACGGGUAGCUGGUCUGAGAGGACGAUCAGCCACACUGGCACUGCGACACGGGCCAGACUCCUACGGGAGGCAGCAGUGAGGAAUAUUGCGCAAUGGGCGAAAGCCUGACGCAGCGACGCCGCGU
rnacentral:rRNA from 1 species